ACUUGUAACUCAAUCACUUCUCCACCUUCGCCUGCAAUCCAAAGGCUUCGUUUCUUCAUCACAGUCGACUCAUCUUCCCAUCAAUUUAACAGUUAUCUCUACGCGUAUACCCUCUUGACAUGAAUAUAUAAAUUGCGAUUGUCAGGAACUUCUGGAGAGAGAGAAGCUUGACGCAGUCGCUGGAGAAAUUGGAGGGCGUGCGGUCGGGGAAACCAUAGACAGAAUGGGUCCUGGAGCUGCAUUCACUGCGGCGGCCGCUAGACAAGCUGAAGUAUUGAGGACUGAUGGCAACACCUUUUUCGGAAAGCACAGAUAUGGAGCCGCCAUUGAUGCUUAUACUGAGGCAAUUGCUUUGUGCCCUAAUGUUCCGGUAUAUUGGACGAAUCGCGCUCUCUGUCAUCGGAGACGGAAUGAUUGGACUAAAGUUGAAGAGGAUUCUCGUAAAGCGAUUGAACUUGACUACAAUUCCGUCAAGGCACACUAUAUGUUAGGACUUGCCUUACUACAGAAGAAUGAGUUAGCUGGAGGAGUAAAGGAAUUACAAAGGGCUCUUGAUCUUGGUAGGGGUGCCAACCCAGUGGGUUAUAUGGUAGAAGAGAUCUGGCAAGAGCUUGCAAAAGCAAAAUAUAUGCAAUGGGAGCAAUCAUCCACUAAGCGAUCAUGGGAACUGCAAAGCUUGAAAGAAGCCUGUGAGAAUGCACUGGAGGAAAAACAUUUCCUUGAUAGUUGUCAAACAGAAGGAUUCUUGGAUGAGAUGAAUGUUCCCCAUUUGAAACAAUUUGAGGAUUUAGGACAAGUUUUUAAAAGAGCCGCAGAAGAUGAUACGCCAACCGAGGUGCCGGAUUACCUGUGUUGUAGAAUUACACUUGAUAUAUUCCGAGAUCCUGUCAUUACACCCAGUGGGGUUUCGUAUGAAAGAGCAGUGAUCCUUAACCAUCUUCAGAAGGUGGGAAAGUUUGAUCCAGUGACUCGAGAACCACUUGAUCCGUCACAGCUCAUUCCGAACUUUGCAAUAAAGGAAGCAGUCCAAGCAUAUCUUAACAAACAUGGUUGGGCUUACAAGAUAGAAUGAAUAUGAUUGUUGAUCAGGAGAGCAAUAGUAGUAUGAGAGCAUCGUCAAAUCAUAAUUGAAACAACUUUCUUCGAUGUCGUCUCUUCUCUCCCUUAUCAGUCUCAUCCGCGGUGCUGCUGCUUGUUGGGAUUUUCUUUCUUAUUUUUGUUAGAUUAUUGUUGGGAUAUUGAGACUAGGAUUUCUUCACUUGAUCGGCUUGAAGUUUUGUUUUUCUCUUAAGGCUCUAGGCUCAGUCUCCUUUGGACUUGAAUUUAUUAUGAAAAAAAGGCCUAGUUAGAAGAAAAAACUCGAUAUUUACAUUUUAAUUUAAAUGUUAAACGCUGAAAUUUUGAAUAAUUGACUUAAUAUUAGGGUUCUAA